rnacentral:rRNA from 1 species
CCUACGGGUGGCUGCAGUGGGGAAUAUUGCACAAUGGGCGCAAGCCUGAUGCAGCCAUGCCGCGUGUGUGAAGAAGGCCUUCGGGUUGUAAAGCACUUUCAGCGGGGAGGAAGGCGGUGAGGUUAAUAACCUCAUCGAUUGACGUUACCCGCAGAAGAAGCACCGGCUAACUCCGUGCCAGCAGCCGCGGUAAUACGGAGGGUGCAAGCGUUAAUCGGAAUUACUGGGCGUAAAGCGCACGCAGGCGGUCUGUCAAGUCGGAUGUGAAAUCCCCGGGCUCAACCUGGAACUGCAUUCGAAACUGGCAGGCUAGAGUCUUGUAGAGGGGGGUAGAAUUCCAGGUGUAGCGGUGAAAUGCGUAGAGAUCUGGAGGAAUACCGGUGGCGAAGGCGGCCCCCUGGACAAAGACUGACGCUCAGGUGCGAAAGCGUGGGGAGCAAACAGGAUUAGAUACCCUUGUAGUC